GGGUAAUUCCUGACCUUGUGCCGCGGUAUAGAGGAAGGUGUGAGGGUGAAUGUGGAGUACUGAGCCUAAGUCGGGCGUAGUCGGCUUGUGAAGUCGGAUGUUAAAGCCCCGUGCUUAACCUGAGAAUGGCAUCGGAUUCUGGGGUGCUAGAGUACGGUAGAGGGAGGUGGAAUUCCAGGUGUAGCGGUGAAAUGCGUAGAUAUCUGGAGGAACACCAGUAGCGAAGGCGGCCCCCUGGACUGACAUUGACGCUGAGGUGCGAAAGCGUGGGGAUCAAACAGGAUUAGAUACCCGAGUAGC
rnacentral:rRNA from 1 species